rnacentral:misc_RNA from 1 species
GCACUUUGAACUAAAGUUCAUAAAUCAUGAGAGAGACUGAGUGAAGGGUGAGGGGGGAAAAACAAUAAUAUUUAUAAAAUCAUAAUUUACAAAGAAUGCACCCAGAAUUGAAGGAAAAAAAAAUACUCUCACUCAAAAAUUGAAGACCGGGAAAAAAAAAAAAAGCGCCUAGUUUUUGUUACAAUGAUGUACGCAACUUUCGGUUUUUCAGCAAACACCUAAAGGUAAUACAAAUUUUUUGCUACAAUGAUGUACGGAACUUUCGGUCUUUCAGCAAACACCUAAAGGUAAUACAAAUGAACUCCAACUUUAGCAAGACAAUAUAUAAAUGGUACAUUACAAUUAAAGGUGAUCAAAGAGAAGUGCUCGGUAAAGAACCCAUUAAAAUAACAGUGUCACUGUCCUGGUAAUCCUUCAUCAUUUCUGGCUUUGCCCUUGAACAUAGUCCAGAAAGCAAUCCCAUAGGCAAAACAGAGCCCGAUUUCCUUCCCAACAAAUCACUAGCCUUACGGCUCAGCUUAUUAGUGGCCCCCAUGGUCUUCUCCUCUCCAGUAAGUACUCCACAAGAGCAGUUUGUGAGCCUUCCGAAGCAAGUCUUAUGGAAUACAGACUCGCAAGAUGUACACCUUUCAAUCUCAUCGUCCUGAAAAGGGAAAAUGAGUGAAGAUGGAUUAUCACAAGCUUGUCGGGCACUGCAGGGAACUCCCACAUCACAGCAGAUGAGGCAGCGGUCCGUUAUAUGCUCCAAAAUUUUUCUUGAGACAGUCUCCACCAUCACGGGUAAUGCUGCAAAAGCCCCUUUUGAGAGAUCAAUGAGGUCUCUAAGUGCGAAAAAAUCAUUGCUUUCAAGAAGAUAUCUACGAGAUCCAAGUCCUCUGUUGAUGGUCCUGCGGAAUGGGCAGCGAACAUAUGGAAGCAUAGUUCCUAUUUUUUUCCUCACACCCAUAAUAUGGUGCAGAGCUGGGACCUUUGAGAAUAGGAAAGGAUUAACUGCACUCACACAAAGCAUGGGCUGCUCAUGUAUGGAAUCCAAGUAUGACUUAGCCAAUUGAGAGACUGGAUAUUGAGUAAAAUCCCAAUAAUGUAGAACUCUUGCUGGCAAAACGGCAGUUUCAUUUGUAUGGCAUGAAGAACAAAACAAUUGACCAGUGUAUUCACAAAUUUGAGGCUUUCCCCAUCCAAGUGCUUGCACAAAGUCUCGCACUAGUGUCAUUCCAUCAUCAAAAUGUUUGUGGCAUCCAGCACAAGUAUAAUGUUGGGCUUCUAGCAAUUGUUUCAUAGAUUUGUAUGGCUUAAUUUCAACAAUAAGUGAUAUUGUCUUCCCUAAAGAGGAGAUGUUCCCUGGUUCUGCUUCUCUGUUAGAGAAUGAAGACCAAGGCACUGGCUUUUGUGAUGUAGGGGAACUAGGAACUGGAUCUUGAGGACUCAAAAACCAAAACAAUGCACUUGGGGGACUGGAAAAAUAACCAGCAUGAAUAAUUGAAUGCAAGCACUCUUGAAUCAGUACACUUCUCUCAGAAACAACAUCUGGAGAUGCAUUCCCAAAUAUUUUUCGAGAUUCCUUUUCCACAGAGGACCAGGGAAGAGGAAGUGUCCAGCCCUGGUCAGUGAAUAAUGAUUUCAGCCGACGAUAGAGUGUGAAGAAAUCGCGAUAUCUGCGUUCAACCUCCCACUGAUCCUGGCCACUCCACACUCUUAUUCUAUAUACAGUAUAUCCUUUCACCCCAACCAAUCUUUCACUAAGAGAGACAUCUCCUUUCUUCUGCUUGGCACCAACAACUUCAAUCCCAUCAAUUCUCAGUGGCUGUGUGAUUAGUGGGAAGGAAUCAUCUGGACCUGAAGUGGAAGCAGUCAACCCACCGUCCCUUAGAGGCAAAGAUAGCUGUGAUUGUGACAUGCGAUUGCGCUGAGGGAACCUAGCCCCUGGAGACUCACUAGAGUCAAGUAAAAUUUCUUCCAUUUCAUUGACAAUUUCAUCAUAAAUUUCAUUAAGCUCAACUUUGUCUGCCUUAACUGGUGCAGGAUCAUCUUCAAAAAGAUCUACAGAAGAGUUAUUCAAUGUUUCACCCCUGUUAGUCUCAAGCAACAAUGGUGUUGAAUUUAGUUUAUGGUCUUCAAUGAAUUUCAC